GAUGAACGCUGGCGGCGUGCUUAACACAUGCAAGUCGAACGGUGACCCAGGGCUUGCCCUGGUGAUCAGUGGCGAACGGGUGAGUAACACGUGGGCAACCUGCCCUGACUUCGGGAUAACUCCUCGAAAGAGGAGCUAAUACCGGAUACGACCACUUCGGACAUCCGAUGGUGGUGGAAAGUUUUUCGGUCAGGGAUGGGCCCGCGGCCUAUCAGCUAGUUGGUGGGGUAAUGGCCUACCAAGGCGACGACGGGUAGCCGGCCUGAGAGGGCGACCGGCCACACUGGGACUGAGACACGGCCCAGACUCCUACGGGAGGCAGCAGUGGGAAUAUUGCGCAAUGGGCGAAAGCCUGACGCAGCGACGCCGCGUGAGGGAUGAAGGCCUUCGGGUU
rnacentral:rRNA from 1 species